CUGGGGCUUGAGGUCGUUGUCUAUCGUUUCGGCGAUGACGGUGAUGCUCAGCUCUGCUUGCCGGUGACUGUUGCGGUGUUCUUCAUUGAGCGCUGUAGCAGCACGGCACGUUUACUUUGAAAAAAUUAGAGUGCUCAAAGCGUGCUUGUCGCUUGAAUAAUGUUGCAUGGAAUAAUGGAAUAGGACCUCGGUUCUAUUUUGUUGGUUUUCGGAGCUUGAGGUAAUGAUUAAGAGGGACGAACGGGGGCAUUCGUAUUGCGGUGUUAGAGGUGAAAUUC
rnacentral:rRNA from 1 species